rnacentral:rRNA from 1 species
UACGUAGGGUGCGAGCGUUGUCCGGAUUUAUUGGGCGUAAAGAGCUCGUAGGCGGUUUGUCGCGUCGGCCGUGAAAUCUCCACGCUUAACGUGGAGCGUGCGGUCGAUACGGGCAGACUUGAGUUCGGUAGGGGAGACUGGAAUUCCUGGUGUAGCGGUGAAAUGCGCAGAUAUCAGGAGGAACACCGGUGGCGAAGGCGGGUCUCUGGGCCGAUACUGACGCUGGAGGAGCGAAAGCGUCGGGGAGCGAACAGGAUUAGACUACCCGGU